AUGCCACCAUGCCCGGCUAAUUUUUUGUAUCUUAAUAGAGACCGGGUUUCACCAUGGUGGCCAGGAUGGUCACAAUCUCCUGACCUCAUAAUCCGCCUGCCUCGGCCUCCCAAAGUGUUGGAUUACAGCGUAAGCCACCACGCCCAGCCGUGUUCCAUACUUAUAGAGGGAGGCAGGCAAGACAAAAGGAGCUUUGGGCAGCCACGCAAGGUCAUACAGCUUCCCACGGCAGAGCUGGAACAGAGCAUGGUCCCUGCAUGUGGCUGGUGGCCUCUACUCUCCUCCAUGGUCCUGAUGAAACAAGCAGUUGUCUGUGCAAACCAGAGCGGCCUCAUCAUCCAGGAGUGUGACUCCACUGCUCAGGGCUGUUUGAACUUGGGUACCGCCUCAUCAGUAAAGUGGAGUUGUUCUGAAGAUGAAAAGGAUCAGCUACAUAAAUGUGUUUGAGAGUAACCUGAGAAGUGUCAGGGUGACUACAGCUAUAUCCAGCAUGUUCAAGAUCUUGCCUCCUCAUCAAGAGAUAUUACCCACGUCUUUGACUCAUUCAUUUCAUCAAUCACUUAUUCAGUCUACAAUUUCAUUGUUGUGUCAUGCACAUAAUAAACACUUCCCUUGAAAUCAUAGCUUUCACUUUCUUCCAGUGCUCAGUUCUAAAUUCAUUGCCUCCUCCCCAUUGCUGGGGAUCCCUUAAUCAGCUUUAUGGAGACUGUUGCUCUUCUGCACAUUGACCUGCAUAGAGGAGGCCCAAUGGCAGGACUAGCUGGAGUCCAUCCCCUUGUCUUGCCACGUGGGUCUGGCCAUUGAAUUUUCAUUGCACAAGGGAUCUAUUUCUGCCAAUUUUGCUCAGGGUGCCAGAAUGUCUGCUACACAAAUAGAAUUUGCUCAGAUGUCUAAAGUUGACCGUACGUGGUUAAGAACCUUCAUUCAUUUAACACAUAUUUUUGGUGCCUCCCACGUACUAAGCACUUCAUAACAUGUGACUUUUUGUGCUGAAACUUAAGCAACAGAGAAUCCACAAGAAUGCCUGUACUUCUGAGAUCUACACACCAGCAGGGUCUUCAAAAUAAAAAAAUAGGACAAUGGCACCAAUGACACCAUAGACUUUGAAUCUCCCUAAACCCUUCUAGGAAAAUGGGCAAAGCGACUAGGGUAGAAAAACAAAAUAUUCUUAGGUACAACAAAAUCAGAAGGAGGAAUCCCAUGAACCCCAAAAUAUGAGUGGGUGAAGUAGCCCAGAGACCCUCAAAACCACCAAAAGUGCUGACGGGAACCAUGACAGGCCAAAAUGUGAGAGGAGCAGAGAAGCUGGGAGGGAUCUCGGCAGACCCUGAAUUGAGGUUAGGACACCCUAGGCAGUCUAGACCUGAUAGCUCCUGAAACUAACCAGUGGGGACGUCUUUUCAGGACAAACCCCACACAGAGGAGGAACUACAAACUAAGGCUUCACACUGCAAAAUACAAAAAUUAGCCAGGCAUGGUGACACACACCUGUCAUCCCAGCUACUCAAGAGGCUGAGGCAGGAGAAUUACUUGAACCCGGGAGGUGGAGGCUACAGUGAGUAGAGAUGGCACCACUGCACUCCAGCCUGGGCGACAGAGUAAGACUCUGUCUCAAAAAUAAAUAAAUAAAUAAAUAUAAAAUAAAAUAAAAUUGAAUUUUAAAAUGGAGCCUCUUAGUUGCAUUAGCCACAUUUCAAAUGCUUGGCUAGUAGCUUCUGCUAUAUGGUGACUGCAUUGGACAAUGCAGAUGUAGAACAAUCCCAUUAUUACAGAGUUCUGCUGGACAGUGCUGAAGUUACAUGGUGUAUUAGUCUGUUCUCACCCUGCUAUAAAUAAAUACCUGAGACUGGGUAAUUCAUGAAGAAAAGAGGUUUAAUUGGCUCACAGUU
ensembl:lncRNA